rnacentral:tRNA from 1 species
UGGAGGAUAGCCGAAUGGUUAGGAACCUGAUUCGAAAUCAGGCGCCGGGAAACCGGUUGAGGGUUCGAAUCCCUUGUCCUCCGU